CCACGUUCAGAUGUCUCUGAGUGUCGGGGGGGGGGGGCUCCUUAUUAACUCAGAAAUAUUACCAUCUCAUGACCGGACCACCCGGACCAGAACAGGAGGAGGAUUACAGCGUUUAAAGAGCCGGAGAAGAGGAGAGAGUCACCGUGGCUGUCGUCACCUCGACACUGAGAGGAUCUAAUACGACAGGACUCGACGGUUCGACCGUUUCACUCAGAUUUACGACGAGAAACAGACGUGUGCGAAUAAUAAAAUGUAUAUAAAGUCAUGUGCUCAUAAAAAAAAUCAACAAAUGUUUUUUCCUGUAAAUACGGCAGUGAAGUUAGUUUCAGGUUGGAUAUAUUUUCCUGUAAAUACGGCAGUGAAGUUAGUUUCAGGUUGGAUAUAUUUUCCUGUAAAUACGGCGGUGAAGUUAGUUUUAGGUUGGAUAUAUUUUCCUGUAAAUACGGCGGUGAAGUUAGUUUUAGGUUGGAUAUAUUUUCCUGUAAAUACGGCGGUGAAGUUAGUUUCAGGUUGGAUAUAUUUUCCUGUAAAUACGGCGGUGAAGUUAGUUUCAGGUUGGAUAUAUUUCCCUGUAAAUACGGCGGUGAAGUUAGUUUUAGGUUGGAUAUUUUUUUCUGUAAAUACGGCGGUGAAGUUAGUUUUAGGUUGGAUGAUACGGCGGUGAAGUUAGUUUCAGGUUGGAUAUAUUUUCCUGUAAAUACGGCGGUGAAGUUAGUUUCAGGUUGGAUAUAUUUUCCUGUAAAUACGGCGGUGAAGUUAGUUUCAGGUUGGAUAUAUUUUCCUGUAAAUACGGCGGUGAAGUUAGUUUUAGGUUGGAUAUAUUUCCCUGUAAAUACGGCGGUGAAGUUAGUUUCAGGUUGGAUAUAUUUCCCUGUAAAUACGGCGGUGAAGUUAGUUUCAGGUUGGAUAUAUUUUCCUGUAAAUACGGCGGUGAAGUUAGUUUUAGGUUGGAUAUAUUUUCCUGUAAAUACGGCGGUGAAGUUAGUUUUAGGUUGGAUAUAUUUUCCUGUAAAUACGGCGGUGAAGUUAGUUUUAGGUUGGAUAUAUUUUCCUGUAAAUACGGCGGUGAAGUUAGUUUUAGGUUGGAUAUAUUCUCCUGUAAAUACGGCGGUGAAGUUAGUUUCAGGUUGGAUAUCUGACAGACAUUCUCUGAGGAUCUACCGGUGUCUUCUCACUCUCCAUAACCAGGAAUAACAACAGCAGCGCGGUUAAAUCUACUCGACACCCUCACUGUCAACGUCGGUGUUGAAUAAGGGACCGUCAAUAAAUUACCGGUUGAUGUUCUCAGAAAAGGCUGUUUUCCUUCAAUAGCUUCACUGUCAUGUGACCAAAAGACCUAAAAUUGAUUUAAAAUAAUAGUACUAAAGUCGAUCAAUAAGACAAACAUUAUUGAUCAGUUUUCAUAGAUCCCCUAAAGUUCUUUGUGCUCCUUACUUUUUCAACUUAAGAGAACAUGUGAACAAAGUUAGUGUGAAACCCUGUAAGGGGUCCAAAACCAUGUGACACCGAGCAGAGACUUCACAAGAUGAGGAGGAAACAGUGAAAAUUAAAGUCACUUUUAAAAACAAACGCAUGAGUCUGCUGACACUUAAACAUCCUAAUACAAACACGCCUGAUUCGUCCAAAGACGCCAGACUCGAGCGUUCACAGACGGCGGUCAGAAACCGCUCCUCUCUUACUGACUCUGAGAAACGGACUCUCCUGACUCUCCUGACUCUCCUGAAUCCAGAUCCUCUCUCCUCUCUCAGCCUCGUUCUCUUUUUUCCUCACAGUGUGACUGUAGCGCAGAAAAGCUCCAGAGUAUGACUCACAAUACCAGAGAGCUAUUUCCAAUCAAAGCAGAGAGAGUGUGUGUGUGUGUGUGUGUGUGUGUGUGUGUGUGUGUGUGUGUGUGUGUGUGAGUGUGUGUGUGUGUGUGUGUGUGUGUGUGUGUGUUAGAGCUGAGUUCGUAGCAAACAUAUGUGACUGCCUUAUGUAGAAGACAGAUUGUUCUCCUGCUGUACGGAGCUGAAGGACUUCAGGACGGCCAGCCAAUCACACGAGGGCUGAUAUUCCCAUCGCUAUUCCAGAGAACAGAGAAGAACGCCGUCGGUGGAGAUGUUCACAGACAUGUUCACAGACGUGUUCACAGACGUGUUCAGGUGUGUGGGAAAGACACACUCUGAGUUUCCACGGCAGAGUAAAAAACUGGUCGACAGUCGACUUCAGCUGCAGGAGUGUCCACACACACACACACACACACACACACACACACACACACACACACACACACACAGUCAGGACUGACUCGGACACCUUUGCUCAGCAGGAUGUCAUGUUGCCAUGGUACCGCCCUGACUUACUCUUAUUACAAACACGUUUAAACGGAUUUCAGGUUUUUAACAAGCAAACGACUAAUUCUGGAGACCAGAGGAGCUGAGAACUUUCUGCUGCUGCACUGUCUCAGAGCUGGAGGACGGACGAGCAGCAGGACGAUAAACGAGUCCAUUUAUAAAUGAAGGAAGUGAGACAAACUAACGCUGUAACUGAGACAAGAGAGCCAUACUUAAUUUCCCUCAAUAUCAAUAUAAAACAUGGUCAAUAUUCUUUUCAAUAGUCGUCAUUCUGACAUGUUUUGGUCGACUAUACUAACAGCCAAUGAAAAGGGGAGUGUCUCCGGGUCUGAACCAAUCAUGUUCUGAAUUAGAACCAAGUAUCAACCAACUGCAAAGUGGUAGCAGACAGCAGCUCCACCCAACCAUAGCACUUUAACAGGUGAAGCCGACAGCACUGAUGUUGUUCACGAUGUACGGUGAGUGACGAAGGAGUCCUGCUGUGAGGUCUGGACUAACACCCGCCCGGCACACACAGGAUUUCCCAUCAGAACCGAGUCCAACUGUCCAAACCAAAACUCUCACCGACUCUGAAGUCAAACGACAAAAACACAUCAAAUACAGGAAACACGAACUGAGCAUGUGCCAAAAUGAGGCGCCGACGUCUGCAGACGUGAUGAAGGUUCAGGUACGGGCUGCAUGAUAUAUCGUUUGAUCGUCGUCAUGGCGAUGUAUUUGUGCGCGAUAGUCACAUGUCAGAGCCUGCGAUGUCGGAGGUGAAUGAACUCGUCUAGUUUCAAGUGUUGCUGACAUACACUAUAUGUGACUCUAUAUGUGCUGUGCAGCGAUCCACCAAUCACAUUCAUUCUUUACUCAGUUGCUACCCUGCCAGCCGUCAAUCAAAAUCAGAGAGGAGGAAACCACGCCCCUGCACAUGGAGUGAGUCGCUGACGCUGCCGGUGUUGUUCCGAGAAACGCCGAGAAUGACUUUGUGAACAUUCCUCAUCACUGUUUAUCCCACAAAUAGGAACUGUACGGGUUUGAAAUCAUACUUUCUGUGGACCACCCUAAUAUAAGAGGUGUUUCUGUGAGGUGGAUGCAAUUCUAGGGGGGCAUACCUUUCUCAGCACAACAACAACGAUUGUAAAAUGAGAAACAAACAAGAGAAAACCACCGAAGAUGAAGACUUGUUUCAGUUAUCUGGAAUUAUUUCAGUUAUAAGAAGGAUGAUGUCGACUAAAACAUCUGUUCUGUGUUCAUCUGUUUCCACAAUAACGUCCAGAACAAUAAAAACUAAAAUUAUCUCUGAGACAGACAGAAGACAGUCUACUAACAUUCACUAAGAGAGGGAAGAUCAGAGCAGGUUAACUGUCCUCAAGACUUCAGCAGAAACUCAGAUUCAGGUCAUCUGAGGAGGAAAAUUCAUCGAUUUUUUAACAUCACAGGGUUGAAAAAAAUCACAAUGUUAGUUUUUUUUCUAAUAUGGUGCAGCUUUAGCUCAGGUUAUCUACUCUGACCACUUCAACAUCUGGAUCUCCAGGACCAGGACCCUCCUGAUGGAUUUUAGCACAAACAGAGAACCCAAAGGACCCAUCGUCUCCUGCUCCAGAAAAGGCGGUCUAAAGUGAAUCCAGGAACCGCUCAUGGUGGUUUUAUCUCCUCCCUCUGCAGAAACCAGAGGCCAUCUUUUCAACACGCUAAAUUGAUUUCUUUUGAAGACGUUCACGUCACGCACAGAGAGGAAGCUUUCACGGUUCAAACAUUUCAAGAUCCCGACUAAAAGGUCCGCCAAGAAAAGGGGUCAUGCUUUGUAAACAGUAAGUGCAGCGCUUUCACCGCCAGAACAACCAACAAGCCCCCGAGCCUUCGGUCAAGGUCCCGCACGGCACGCCACGUCUGAGGGGAACCAGGACUUCACAAAAGGUUGCUUUCAGCGCCGGCGAAGGACAGCAUCCUCAGAAUUCACUCAGACACGAGAGCCGGGCGAGCGCGGGAACACGGCGCCAACAUCGCAGGGGUUCAGAAGAUUUCAGAGAGCGCUUUUACAACCAAGAAACCUGCUUCAGGAAAUCAAUGACAUCAGAGCGACGCGCCCACCUGUGAGCGUAAUUACAGACCAAGGCCGCCGCUCGCAGACCGACCCGUCUCUCCACUAACAGCCUCUUUUUCUUGGCGUUGUGGCGGGGUGGCGGCCCUUCGGCUCAGACGGCGCAGAUUAGUUUUAGCCUUCAGCUCAUCCCUCACAAAAAAAAAAGGAAAGGUUGAGAAUUCUUACAAAAACGGCGCCGCACUCAAAUGGGUUUAUUAUUAUCUGAUGCUGACAGCCAACGCCACGGAAAGCAUCAACAAAGAGCUGCGAGCGAAAUCCAAACGCCAUAUGCUUCACGGAUGUGAACACAAACUAAAGUGGCAGGUGCAUCAACAGAACUGUGCCGUCCUGACAUCCCAACAGCCCAGAACAAACAGAGAAUCUCUAAACAGCAGACUGACUCAUUUGCAGGCGCCGAGUGUUGAUGCAUAUGGAGAGGCAGCGAGGAGGAGGAGGAGGAGCGAGGAGGAGGAGGAGGAGCAGGAGCAGCGUUCAGAGAGGAGGUCUCUCCACGUGUAAAUCAGUGAGGCUGGAACAUGAGAGCUGCUGUGUCACACUGCUGCUUUGUCUGCUCCUCUCUCCGUCCACCAUCCACUCCCCGAGACCGAGGAGGAGGAGGAGGAGGAGGAGGAGGAGGAGGAGGAGGAGGAGGAGGCUGCUGCUGGGAACACUGCCAACGACAUGCAAACCGUGACUGGGCAAACACGGCUCUGCAGGCCGUGUUCUGCUGCAGCUGACUGCAGAACCAGCUCUCAGGCUCUAAAUCAACGUGUCGACCACAGCUGAGCGCAGAGUUAACGCUGUUAGUCAGCAUCUAUUCACUCUAGUUCUAUUCACUCAUCCAGGUUAACCUUCUCGGUGUCAUCGCCCAGAUUUCCCUCAUGGGGCUGAAGACGGUAAACCACUGAGGUCUUCAGUUCAUGACGAGGAUCAUUAUCUCAACAGAAAAACUGAUUCCCUCAAAGGUUCAGGAUUCAAGAGAAACUAUUAUUGACCGAAUCAAUAAACGGAGAAUUCAUCAAUAACUGAAUUCAUAACUAAUCGAUCCUCUCAGUCAUUCGUCAAACCGAGGUGUCGCUUCGUUCUUCAGCCUGUUUAACGUUUUUGAUUCUCCAAAUAUCAGGAGAGAGCCGAGCAGAAAACCAGACCAUGAAAACAACCCUGACCCCCGACCUCCACCUUCAUCCUGAUCGUCUCCUAAAAGGUCGUAUCCUCCGAUCGUAGCUGAUCGUAACCAUUCAAGUUAACGUGUCAAUUUACACCGACUUCUUUCCAUCGGACGCCGGAGCAUGGCGGAUAAAUUCAGCACAGAUUAACCCGUGCUGGAAAGGAAGUCGGGCACAGACACAAAAUAAAACAUCCGGCUUCUUUUCAAAAUAAAACACUCCGUGUUUCAGGAGGAUCGUAUUUCACACCAUGCAAACGGGCGGAGACGAACAAGUGAAAGGUUUUUAGACGUCAUUUCACCCCGAUGACACCAUGGAUGAGGAGAUGCUGAUUCUAGAAGUCUAGAAGUAGAUUUCCUCCUCUGGAAGGACACCAUCUACUGCUUAUAUGUCUAUGUGUCUGUCUUUAGAGAGACAACUUGUUAUCGUGAGAUUGAACGUGAAUCUGCAGGUUCUUGUGAGUUCUCACGAUUCCUGCUGUCUGUAAUCCGCCUCGAAAUUCGCUUCACAGACCGAUCCAGUGGGGAUUGGCGGACGGCGAAAAUCGAUGCUGUUUCGGAUGCGGUAAAAAUUUUCCUCCAGAAGUUAAAAAACCAAAACAUGUUGGAGAUGAAAAACUUUAAAUCGUUAAUAUAGUAAAAAGUUUGAUGGGGGAUGUUCUGGAUGGUUCUGGGAUCAUUUCCUGUCCUUCGUCUACAGUCUCAAUCUAAUCUAAUCUAAUCUAAUCUGAUCUAAUCUAAUCUAAUCUAAUCUAAUCUAACGUCUCCUCACUUAAGUCCAUUUUAACCUUUUUCUUCUGUUUAGAUUCAGACACUUGUCGCAUGGCGAGGACUGAUUCAACCACACGAGUCGACCACAGACCAUCACCACUGUGACCAUCACUCAAUCAUUAACCAGGAGAGUCCUCUUCCUCCGCACGCCUCUAUCCUUGAGAAAUCUCAAUCCCUAUCAGCUCCAGGAAUGCGGCUCUGCGCCCCUGACCUCUGACCCCAGCGUGGAGGAGGAUUUCCCUCUCGGCGUCAGUGAAGCUCCACGCUCUCCUUUCCUUAUUUACAUGUAAUCUCCUCUGCGAGUCCCUGCGAGGCUUUCCUUCAAUCAACCUCCAAUCAGAAAACUGAACCGUUAACGAACAUGAGGGUUCGAAUCUGAAGAUCAACGCUAACUUGAUUAUGGCGCCGGUGAGACCGCCGUUUCUACACCUGAGGAUUUGUCUACUUAGCUCUUCAUCCUGCGAGUCUGCCGCUCUCCUCCGAGGUACCCCAACACAUCUGUUUACUUAGUGUGUGUGUGUGUGUGUGUGUGUGUGUGUGUACAGGAGGCGGAGUCUGUGAGGAACUUGAGGUCUCUGAGGCCGAGAGCCUCUGAAACCCUCCUGGGAGGCAGCCGGCCGUGCGCCAAAUCUGUUAUUGCGAUGACUUCUGACAGCCGCAGCAGC
rnacentral:lncRNA from 1 species